GACGAACGCUGGCGGUGGGCUUAACACAUGCAAGUCGAACGGAAAGGCCCUGCUGUCUUGCUGUGCUCGAGUGGCGAUCGGGUGAGUAACACGUGAGUAACCGGCCCUUCACUUUGGGAUAACUUCAGGUAACUGGGGCUAAUACCGUAUAGCAUCUGCUGCUGCAUGGUGGGGGUUGGAAAGUUGAGGCGUUUGAGGAUGGACUAGCGGCUGAUCAGCUUGUUGGUGGGGUAGUGGCUUGCCAAGGCUUUGACGGGUAGCCCGCCUGUGAGGGUGACCGGCGACAAGGGUACUGCGAUACGCACCAGAGUCGUACGGUAGGCAGCAGUGGAGAAUAUUGCACAAUGGGCGGAAGCCGGAGGCAGAAACUCCGCGUGCGGAAUGACGGCCUGUGGGUUGUAAACCGCUUUCGCCUGUGACGCAGCGUGAGUGACGGUAAUGGGUAAAGAAGCACCGGCUAACUACGUG
rnacentral:rRNA from 1 species